rnacentral:rRNA from 1 species
GACGAACGCUGGCGGCGUGCUUAACACAUGCAAGUCGAACGGUGAACUCCGCUUGCGGGGGGAUCAGUGGCGAACGGGUGAGUAACACGUGGGCAACCUGCCCUCAGCUCUGGGAUAACUCCAAGAAAUUGGGGCUAAUACCGGAUAUGACCGCUGACCGCAUGGUCUGGUGGUGGAAAGAUUUAUCGGCUGGGGAUGGGCCCGCGGCCUAUCAGCUUGUUGGUGGGGUAGUGGCCUACCAAGGCGACGACGGGUAGCCGGCCUGAGAGGGUGACCGGCCACACUGGGACUGAGACACGGCCCAGACUCCUACGGGAGGCAGCAGUGGGGAAUAUUGCGCAAUGGGCGAAAGCCUGACGCAGCGACGCCGCGUGGGGGAUGACGGCCUUCGGGUUGUAAACCUCUUUUAGCAGGGACGAAGCGAAAGUGACGGUACCUGCAGAAGAAGCACCGGCCAACUACGUG